rnacentral:rRNA from 1 species
GGGGGAUAACCAUUGGAAACGAUGGCUAAUACCGCAUAAUGCCUACGGGCCAAAGAGGGGGACCUUCGGGCCUCUCGCGUCAAGAUAUGCCUAGGUGGGAUUAGCUAGUUGGUGAGGUAAUGGCUCACCAAGGCGACGAUCCCUAGCUGGUCUGAGAGGAUGAUCAGCCACACUGGAACUGAGACACGGUCCAGACUCCUACGGGAGGCAGCAGUGGGGAAUAUUGCACAAUGGGCGAAAGCCUGAUGCAGCCAUGCCGCGUGUAUGAAGAAGGCCUUCGGGUUGUAAAGUACUUUCAGUUGUGAGGAAGGGGGUAACGUUAAUAGCGUUAUCUCUUGACGUUAGCAACAGAAGAAGCACCGGCUAACUCCGUGCCAGCAGCCGCGGUAAUACGGAGGGUGCGAGCGUUAAUCGGAAUUACUGGGCGUAAAGCGCAUGCAGGUGGUUCAUUAAGUCAGAUGUGAAAGCCCGGGGCUCAACCUCGGAACUGCAUUUGAAACUGGUGAACUAGAGUGCUGUAGAGGGGGGUAGAAUUUCAGG